AAGAAGUCCCCAUCCAAUUUGUAUCACUUAUGAAGUGAUAUUUGAUAGAUUUACGAUGCUUGGUAAUUUUGGGUAGCAACAUGUUCCAGUCGGGAACCGAACCGGCGACCUUUGGAUCCGGAGCUUCCUAUGCCACACUCUAGUUAAGUGUCUUGUUUGGUGAUAUUUCUCAAAGUAAUGGAGCGUAAACUGUGUCCAAUAACUUGUUAUGGGCAGCAGCGACACUAAUGACUAUCAGUUCACUUAAUUUCUCUCAAUUUUUCCUCUUUUCCUUCAUUUUUCUCCUUCCCCCUUCCUCAGUUGUUCCCCAGCUUACAGACAGCAGUGUCCCAGUAAACCUCCUUUAUUCACCAGUAGCUUCAGCCUGUUUUUUUGUUUUUUUUACACUGGCCACGCACACACACGGAUGCACAGAAUACAAACAGGUUCUCUGAAGGGAGGUCUGUUUGAUGCAGGCUCCUCUUCCUCCUCACUGUCUUCCUCCUCCAGAGUUUCGCCGCUGGAGAAGUGAAUUAUCUUCUUCUGUUUGGAUGGUAGAGGACCGGAAAAGUCUGUCUCCUGAGUGUCUAUUACCUGACGGAUUGGACCGGUUUUUACGUGUCUGGAGGGAGGAGCUACACCCAGAUCACCUAGUUCGAAGCACUAGCCUAGUGUUUCUGCCCUGUAAGAGGUCGCCUCUUCAUGCUGUCUUUGGGCUCUCUCUUCGCUCGUCUGCAUAUUCUGUGUUUGUGUUCAUGCAGUCAACACCUCAUACUUAAUAUGUCCUAUUCAUGCACACAUGCACCCACAUUACUGAUCAUACUGACAUAAUUUUGUUGUUAAUAAAUGCAUUGUUUUUUGUCAAAA